rnacentral:rRNA from 1 species
GAUGAACGCUAGCGGCAGGCUUAAUACAUGCAAGUCGAGGGGUAGCAAGAUUGUAGCAAUACCAUUGUUGACGACCGGCAAACGGGUGCGGAACACGUACACAACCUUCCUACAAGUGGGGAAUAGCCCAGAGAAAUUUGGAUUAAUACCCCGUAACAUAGCGAUGUGGCAUCACAUUGCUAUUAUAGCUUCGGCGCUUGUUGAUGGGUGUGCGGCUGAUUAGAUAGUUGGCGGGGUAACGGCCCACCAAGUCUGCGAUCAGUAGCUGAUGUGAGAGCAUGAUCAGCCACGCGGGGACUGAGACACGGGCCCGACACCUACGGGAGGAAGCAGUAAGGAAUAUUUGACAAUGGACGCAAGUCUGAUCCAGCCAUGCCGCGUGAAGGAUUAAGGUCCUCUGGAUUGUAAACUUCUUUUAUAAGGGACGAAAAAAGGUCUUUCUAGAUCGUCUGACGGUACCUUAUGAAUAAGCACCGGCUAACUCCGUGCCAGCCGCCGCGGUAAAAC